rnacentral:rRNA from 1 species
GUGGGGAAUCUUAGACAAUGGGCGCAAGCCUGAUCUAGCCAUGCCGCGUGAGCGAUGAAGGCCUUAGGGUUGUAAAGCUCUUUCAGGGGGGAAGAUAAUGACGGUACCCCCAGAAGAAGCCCCGGCUAACUCCGUGCCAGCAGCCGCGGUAAUACGGAGGGGGCUAGCGUUGUUCGGAAUUACUGGGCGUAAAGCGCACGUAGGCGGACCAGAAAGUCAGGGGUGAAAUCCCGGGGCUCAACCCCGGAACUGCCUUUGAAACUCCUGGUCUUGAGGUCGAGAGAGGUGAGUGGAAUUCCGAGUGUAGAGGUGAAAUUCGUAGAUAUUCGGAGGAACACCAGUGGCGAAGGCGGCUCACUGGUCUGGUACUGACGCUGAGGUGCGAAAGCGUGGGGAGCAAACAGGAUUAGAAACCCGUGUAGUCC